rnacentral:rRNA from 1 species
CCAGACUCCUACGGGAGGCAGCAGUGGGGAAUAUUGGGCAAUGGGCGCAAGCCUGACCCAGCAACGCCGCGUGAAGGGAGAAGGCUUUCGGGUUGUAAACUUCUUUUGUCAGGGACGAAGCAAGUGACGGUACCUGACGAAUAAGCCACGGCUAACUACGUGCCAGCAGCCGCGGUAAUACGUAGGGGGCAAGCGUUAUCCGGAUUCACUGGGCGUAAAGGGAGCGCAGGCGGCAUGGCAAGUCUGAUGUGAAAACCCGGGGCCCAACCCCGGGAGUGCAUUGGAAACUGCCAGGCUGGAGUGUCGGAGGGGUAAGCGGAAUUCCUAGUGUAGCGGUGAAAUGCGUAGAUAUUAGGAGGAACACCAGUGGCGAAGGCAGCUUACUGGACGACUACUGACGCUGAGGCUCGAAAGCGUGGGGAGCAAACAGGAUUAGAUCCCCUCGUA